rnacentral:lncRNA from 1 species
GGGCCCAAGUAAUCCUCCUGCCUCAUACAUCUCAAAGUGCUGGGGUUACAGAUAUGAGCCACUACGCUUGGCCUUGUACUGCUUCUUGGUAAGCAAAAUGAAAUCGAAGUUUUACAUGCCAAGCUCUGGAGGGGGAUUUUUACGCUGGCAUAAUCCCAUCCCCUCUGUUCUGUAAACACUCCCAGGAGGCUGUCCCGCUCCAGGAAUGUCUGCAAAAUAUGAUGAUAAGAAUAAUUGAAGUAUGUAAUAAUGUUUGCACUGUUCAAGAAAAAAAAACAGGACGCGGGUUUGAAUGGAAUAACUGAACGUUACGUGGUUGAUUUUCAGGUAGUGUCUGCUCAUUUCAUCACAUUGGCGUGGUGUCUACCAAUUCCCUAACACAACUUCUAAACCCACUUUUCCACCCUUAAGAGCCUUUCUUCGAGGCCAAUGCCAUUUUGCAGUCCUAUCCCUUCCACCCUCCACUGCUGUUAACUGCCAAUUUCCUGGAUGCUGCCCUUCGUUGACUACAGUCAGGGGUUCCAGAAUCCCUCCUUGCCUCCCAUAGAGGGGUCCCUGUGCCGCCACAAUCGCUCAUCUCCACGUCAUGGGUGUUGUCCUUCCAACACACACUGACUCCUCUAUUUCAACAUUUCCGGAGCCUGCGCUGCCUCUCCACGCCUGCUGAGCUGCUUCAUGUGGGUCCCACCAUUUCCCGACUGGGUUACUGUAAGGCUUCCUCGCAUGUCAUUUCCUCCAGUGCAACUUCCCUGCAAUCCGUGCCCCCAGAAUGCGGAGGCGCCUUGCUGUGGGGAGGCGCUGUGAGGAGGCGCUGAGUACUGACACCAAAAUGGCACAUCAUGGGACACCAGAAUGGCAAGAAGCAUCCUACCAGCCUCAUGGGAGGGACUCAACUUCAAUGCAUGCUUUCCAUUUGAAUGGGAGUGGUUGGGCGGCUGGAGGCCACUGUGAGUCUGAGGAUGGAGGCAAGAUGUGAAGAUGCUGGAAUGAGGAAUGGGAAGGGAGUAGUAAGAGGUGAGCUGAGGCCUGGUCUACAUGAGCAUAGCCCCAAUGCUGUAGAGGGUGAGGAUAGUGUUAUGUGCACACACUGCUGGUGGGCUGCACCUUGCACAAAACAAUUUGGCAAUACACACCAAAAACUUUAGAAACGUUUACACAUAUUGGUCCAGUAGUCCCACUGCUGGGAAUCCAUACAAAGGAAAUAUUUAUAUUCAUAAGGAAAAGACAACAUGGCGACUCUCUAACUAGCCAGGCAUUCAGCUACAUCAUUACAUUUAUACUGUCUAAUUCCCAGAAGUCAUGUUCCAGGAAGUAAGUACAAGCUAAGGUAGGUACUCGGACAGGGCACAGAAUGCCUUGGCAUUCAAGACAAAGAGGGAAACAUGCAUUGCAUAGUCCCCAACACUCUGUAGAAGGAAAAAUGCCAGCUAUCCAUUCGUCAUGGAAUAGACUCUUUUCAAGUUCUGAUAUAAGAGGAAUUUGUGCAAUGAGUUCUUAUCAACCAAGAUGUGAUUAUAAUCAUUUUGUUUGAGAUCUUGCUAAUCCAUAGCUAUUAUCUGAAUAUGUCUUUUAUUUUGCUUUUUAUUUUGAUUAUGAUGGAGGGUUUUUGAUACAGAGAAAAUUUUAAUUUCCAGGUGAUCUAUCUGUCAGCUGUAUGACUUAUCCUUCUGCUUUUAUGCUUUGAAAGAUCUUCUCCACCCACCCCCAGGAAGUUUGGUAAACAUUCAUGUUUGCUCUUC